AUUUAGGUAGUUUAAAAAAAAUGUCGAUUUGUGGUGUCGAAGUUGUAAUAAAAUUCAUUACCUUAGAUU
rnacentral:tRNA from 1 species